UGAUCCAAAAGAUCAGAUCAGAUUGAUCUCGAGGCCUUAAAAAGGAGUGAUACCUGUUUGUGGUUUAUUGUGGCAUUUCUGGUGUUCAGGUCAGGAACUGGCCUUCUGUCCAGUAUUGCUUGUUUCUGGAUAAAGGAGUGGGACUGAAAUCUGUCUCUCUGACAGUUUAAUUUGGAGCUGUGCUUGGGAAGUAUCUGGUGACCCAUCUAUUAAAUCUUGUCCGGUUAGUCAAGAUUUUUAAAUAAUAUAAUUAGUGCUCAUAUGAAUAUUUUUUUUUUUGAAACCUGUAGAGUUGUGUAACAAUUACAUAAACUGACAGUACAUAAUUCCCAUUUAUCACUGUUGAAAACCCCCAAAAUCCUCAAAUGAACUGUUUCCCAAGGACCCCUCAUCCCAUCUGGGACAAAGCGUGGAUGUGGGAGAGUCCCAGUGCAGCUCUGGAGCUGGGGCAGAGGCGCCUGCUCACACUCCUGUGAUUGUUCUGCCACUUAUGUCAUCUUGGAGCAUUUGAACUCGAUUUGUUGAGGGCGUGGGGAUGGUUCUGAGUGAGCACAAUUACGAUUUCUCUGGGUGGAAAUAAGUGCAUUUGCUUUCUUUGUCUGUUGGGCUGAGAUUGAGCCGUUCCAACGGGGCCUGGUUAUCAGUGCGGGGCACUCGGGUUGCUCAGGGCAGGUCGACUUUUUUUUUUUUUUCCACUCUGCUUUUGGCUCCUUGGCAGGGCUGGAACAAAGAGGGGAUGUGUGGCCCUUGUGUCCUGCAGCACCACAAACAUGAGUAACCAGCAACAGAAAGAAAACAGCUGCCCUCCCGAAGGUUUUUUAAUCUCUUAAAAUUCGAGUUCUUAGUGCUCCAAACAACCACCUGCCUGGCACAGGGGGCAGAGCUCCAGAAGGGUGCACACUUGUCUCCCAACUUCCUGGUAUUUCCCUGUGGAUAAACUCCCUUGCCCUGGAGAGUGUGGUGGGGUGAUUCAUUUCUCUCACUGGCAACUACUCUGAGGAGUUUCUUGGUUGCAAAACAACUUAUCUGUAAAGAAUUUACAACCCAAGGUACACAGCUCUUUUAAAUAUCUUUUGCAGUCCCUUUCAUGUAUCUUAGGGUAUAUUUAGCAAUGUUUAACCUGUAUCUGUUGCUUUUUAUAGGUUGAUUAUGCAGUGUGUGCCAGCCUAAGGAAUGUAUAGUCUGAUCCUGCUGGCUGCCAGUUAAAGAUUAAUUGUGACACUCUUUGUGUGUAAUCCUUGAAAAAUGAAGCUUGAUGGGUGUAGUAUUUGUGCUCAGUGUCUCCUGGGGAGAGGGGAAGUUGUCCAGGAUAAAUAAUACAUGGUUGUGUUAUCCUGUGUUGUAACUUGCAUUUCAGGCACAUGAAAUUAAACCUGAAUUUGCAUUUCCAGCCAGUGAAAAUUAAACCUGAAUUUGCGUUUCCAGCAAGUGAAAUUAAACCUGAAUUUGCAUUUCCAGCAAGUGAAAAUUAAACCUGAAUUUGCACUUCCAGCAAGUGAAAUUAAACCUGAAUUUGCAUUUCCAGCAAGUGAAAAUUAAACCUGAAUUUGCACUUCCAGCAAGUGAAAUUAAACCUGCUUUUAAGAGUUAAAGGUACCGAGCUGAGUGUUCAAAUCUGGUGCUUCAAAGCCAACGCCUCAGGGCUCUCCUUGUGCCACCAGCUCAAAAAUAGGGGUGUCUUGCCUUUCUCCCCCCUCAGAAGGGCUCUUCCAGCCCUGUAAUUCCCAAGGCUGGGAGGUUGCAGUGCUCAUGUACAAAGGGAUUUACUUGGCUGUGUGAAUUUGACACCUCUGCACCACGUGUGAGAGCCACACAGGGGCUGGAUGCUCUUUGGAAUGAAGGGAAUUUUUUCCAGUGGGCCAAUCAGUCCUGGCGUUGCUAAUUUUACCCCUCAGCUCCCAGAAAUUUGCUGGAGAUGCAGAUUAAUAAAAUCUCUUCUCUCAGGUUUAAAUUCUUAAACAGAUACACCCUGGAACACAAUUUUAGUUGUCUAUUUUUAGAGAGUAAACUGCUAAAAACACACGUGCUUGUUACAAUGCUGCUUUUAGGAAAGGGCUGUGGGGCUGUGUGUCAAGAAUUGAAUUAUCUGGUCAUGUUUGUGGCCCUGCAGAAUUAGUUUUGACUCCGGGAGAUCUCUUUGGAUGCACCUCAUCCUGUAUUUCAGGCACAGUGCUCCACUGAAAGUUGUGUCCUCGGAAGAGGCUGUUUUUUAAAGAUCAAGCCUAUUGUUAAACCCACAUUGUCUGCAAUUUGGACAGCUCUUAAUGCAUCUUGAACUCCGAAUCCAGAGAGAUUUGGAUUUAUAGAUUGAAUAAAGGUCUCUAGACAUUUA